UAAUCAAAAUUUCAAAGACACCUUAUUUAUUUUCUUUAUAUUAAAUAUUUUCCAAAGUUUUUUUUUAUAUUUAUUUUAUCUUUGUCAUAUCAAAUUUCUGCCUCUAGUAUAAAUUCAAUAAGCUAGUUUUGAUCAAUUACUUGUUCUAAUCUGGUACUUUUAAGCAUUAACAAAAUGAUCCAAGUCGUGGCUUUCAAUGAUGGCCCUGUUUGUUUCUCCAUUCAGAUGGAUCAUCUAGAUGGAGAUGAAAACUGAUGUUUGUUUUUGACAAAUUAAUAGAUCAUUUGGAUGAAUCAUUUGGAUGUUCCAUGUGAAUGACUUUGUAAAUUUAAGCUAAUUUGUGAAACUCAUUUGGAUGGACUUGGUAGAACCAUUUGGAUGAAGAUGAUUUAGUCCAAAAAAACAAAUGACAAAUAUAGUCUCUUUUAAUAAUGUUAAUUUUAAUAGAUUUAUUAUUUAA
rnacentral:sRNA from 1 species